GGAAGGAUUUUGAACGUUGGAGAAUGCGUAACGCUGAUUGGCUAUUGAGCUCGGGGGUCGAUCGUAGAAGGGGACGCCGGGUCGCAACGAGCCUCACUGUACCACUUCGACUGUGAACGCGAUAGGAAUUGGAUCGUCUAUUUUACAAAGCUCCUUUAUCUUUUGCAACAAUUACAUUCGAAUGUCUUUUCAAGCGCUAACGACAUAAUCGACGUUUGGUAAUAUCCAUCGGCAUACUCUUCUCGACCACUUGUCUGGCGCCAACCACCACUAUUGUCUCGCGAAGGCCAAGCUGUAAAUCUUCGUUGCUUAUACCGUUUUCUUGAAACGACGUUGCGACACAAUCUUCCAGUGUGAGUGGUAGCUUAUUCGGUACGAGAGACUUUUAUCGUGAAAGCUAUUUCACGAACAUAUUUACCAUGGUGUACAAAACGGUGGAAAAUUCAGGAGAUAAUUUUCACGAAAAAGAGAUAUAUCACGUAGAAACGUAUCAUCGAGAAAUAUAUAUUAAUUAUCGUUUGUUCUAAUAAAUAAUUAAUAAUUCAAUUACGAUACGCUUAUGGUCGAUUACAACUCAUUCGAAUACCUCGUAAUGAUUUAAACGAAGACGUUUAAAAGACAUGCAUUGCUCCUUCUAUCAGCUCGACCAUCGUUAAGAUUCUCUGAAAAAGAUCAUUCCGCGAGUAUAAAAAAUUACCUUCGUUAAGUCCACACCGUUCAUCAAGUCCGUUAAGAAGUUCAUCCUCCGAGGAAAUGUUUAAGACAGGGGAUCGAGGCAAAGCGUUCGAUGAAAGGACAAUUAAAGCGAACGCGUCCAAUGAAAACAUAUCAAAUCGAAUUCGUUGUUAACUAAUUUCUCGAAUUAUCGAAAAACAUCGCUUUAAUUGAUUUUCGAACGAAAUACAUCGGUUCGAGGGUUUCAGGGUUUCAAUUAGAUUGCCGAUGUUUAGAUAUUUAUGGAAAUUCGCGUAGCAUGAAAAAAAAAAAGUAUACGCGAAACGUGAGAAGCGGAAAACACAUUGUAGAUGUGGCAAUAUCGAUAGUGGACGAAACAAAUUUUUAUUUGGCUCGCAUAUUUUUAUGGAAAUUCGUAAUUCCAUCGAUCCGAAAUUUUAUUAAAAAAUAUUUUUUAUCGCUUCGAUGAAGGUACGAAUGAAUUUACGCGUGAACACCCCUCUUAACGGGACCCAGAACUUGGCAGAUUUGUCAUCUAUUUUAAAAAACCUUCCAUCGUUCGAUUUGAUAGGCUGUUUCCCUUUUUGAUCUGGUAUUAAAAUAUUCCCUUUGCUCAGCCUGGAAGUGAUCUCCAAGUCACGGAAAUAAAACGAUAAAAGAAAAACAGAGCGCAGAUAAAAUUUUCCACGAAACGUUGGACAUGUCUUAUGCCGUUAAAAUUACUGAACCUGCUCGAACGAGCUGAAUAGCUUUUUUCGCAGCUGUACGACAAGUUGCACAUCGUUGCACGCCAUUUGUCGCGAUUAGCUGCCGCCGACUAAUGUGGAGAAUUUCGUACAAGUCGUUGACUCGCUGCUAAUUAAGAAGGCAAAGUUGCCGAGUAAGACGUCCGAAUUAUCUCCCUUUCUUUUUUCCCUUUUCCUAUCCAAACGAAACUGACAGUAUUAAAAAUGAACGUUUUGGCGGCGAAUAAAAAAGCUGAAACUGCGUUCCUACUAACGCGAUUCUUGUCGUGAUAACAAAACGCAAUUACUAUGCACGCCGAUUUAUUUAAUUUUGCUUCUCGUUGGAAUUUCUGAGAGAAAUUUUUAGUGAUAGUGAAAGUAGCGCAGGAUGACAGCUAAAACAACUUAAGGAAACUUCGACGAGUUAAAAAAAGGGCAGAAGUUUAUUCUACGUCGAAGAUAAUACCGAGCUUAAGCGGGCUUUAUCGCGAUAUCGUUUCACGUCAAAAUAUUUUUCUCAAUAACGUCAAAGUCUUACGUUCGUUUUUAAAAUCCUACAAUUUCGAUUUUCUUAACGUCUCGGAAGAUCGCAGAGGAGAAAAAGCGCGACAAGAAUAUUUUCAUUGACCUUUCCGCUUUGUGACCACCUUGUAAUUAAACGGAAAGAUUUUAAUACUCCAUUUAUUCCAUUCCUAGGAUUCCUGAAUUCCAUUCAUAGGAAAUUCGAAAUGGAACACGAAAAAAUAUUUAAAAUAUAUAAAGUAGCGUUUUCUACAGCAAUUGGUUGGUGAGGCAAUUUUCAACCGAGAUUCUACCUUUUUACAUUCUCCAAAAUAUGGAUCCGCGGUUUAAUUAGAAUUUAUUGGGAAGAAUAUGCAGAAACACGAUGCAAGGACGAGAUACAAGUUACGAAAGGAUUUGCGAGUAACUUACGAGUAGCUUAGCAGCUACGAUCUGUGAAAUUUCAACUUAGUAAAUCUUCUACACGAGGAAUAGCGAGAGACAGGAAUUUUGCGGAAUUGGUCUUGUCGAACUUGGAUUCGGCUUGGAUUAUUCGAUAGAAAGAGUGACGAUCUGUCGUGUGUAGCGGAAAAGCGUGUGAAGCUUUUCACAGAAUCGUCGCAAAGGGAAACGAUUAUCGCGUGAAUCGCUUCUCCGAGAUAUCGAAAGCUGCAUCAGACCUGUUUCGAAGAAAAAGAAUUUAACAUACCGUGUCCCUUAUCGAUCCGGAGCUUUCACGGGCAUUUAUCCGCCAACAAGAGAAAGCUUUCGCUUUCGAUAUUUCUAUCGGGCGCGGUGUGCGUUGUCCUGGAAAG